GCGAGCCGGGUGGAGUGGGGUCAGAGCCCAGCUCAGGGGCGCUCGGGCGGGUGUUGGGGGUGCCCCAGGCUCCGCUUCCCCCGCGGAAACCGCUGUUCCCUCAGGCGGCUUUAAAGCUCUGCUCCUGUAUGCUGCCUGCUAACCUGACAUAGGAAAAUGCUCCCGGUAUACACCAGGGUAUCAUCCUGUACAAACUCUUCAGGCUCUGUGGAGGUACCUUGAAGACUGAGAAACUGAUUCACACUUUCCCAAACCAUUCUUGUUUGAGCCAAGGAGGAGGAAAACCUCCCACUGUUUCCAAAUAUCAUGAGCACCAGGACAGCAUGGGUUCUAGUGGAAGGGGUGGAGAUGUGUUCCUGUGGGACAACAAACACCCACCCAUGGACCUUGCCUUCUCCUGCUGAAGACUCAUGCACUGGGAAACAGGAUAGUGUUGGACUGGCUUCUACAACACCUGCAGUAACCCAUCAGAGUUCUCACACAGGCCAUGCUCAUCCAGACAUCAGUGCGUCAGGGUUGCUUCUCUCCUGAUGGCACCAGAAAUCCUCCUGCACUGCAUGGCCACUUACAAAGGGAGACACUGCAGCUGACCAGACCUGUUCAGAGUGAGCUGCUUUUCUACACUGGAAAGACUUCAGCAAUCCUGCUCGAGACUGUUGCUGUGAGAUCUGCAUGAGCACUUGUUGCUCUGAAUGUCUGCACCCAGGGAUGGAGGUAACCUCUGGGCCCAUCACUGCUGGAGGCUGCAGAUGCCAAAGGUUGCAUGGGUUAACAGCAAAAAAAGAAGCCAUUAGGAAAACUCAUGGAAAAAAGAAAACACCAAUAGGAAUUAAAUGCAAAGAUAUGAGCUCCAGGGAAGGUCACUUGUCUAGGUGUAUACUGUGUUCUGUGCUUAUGCUGUUUGCUGCAGGUAGAAGCCAGGUUCUGGCUUGGUGUAGUCCACAUGGCUUGUGACCCUGAACUCCCUGUCUCUCAUGGAGCACGCAGUGAGCAGCUUCUGGCCUGUGGUGGUGUUCAUACAUUCUGAAGUGUGAAUGGGAGCACACAGGCCAGCGGAGGUGGGUACGUUGGUGACUCCAUUCUGAUGUGACCCUGAGCCUCUGACACCAGCCACCUCAGGUGCUGCCUGAUGCUGAGUUGGAGUCUGAGCCUCAUGGAGGAUGGAGAAGAGCACUGGCCAAAGACAAAUAUCCUAUUUCUCUUAGAGUUGUUGGUAAAGUGUACAACACUGCUGCUGUAGUACUCGCAGGUAGAAGCUAAAAUGCUGCUGAGUCUUUGCUUAUUAGAGAAAGUUCAAACAUGUAUUCCAUACUCCUCCUCCCUGGGGAGGGGGUUUGACUGGCUGUAGGGACAGGACAAAGGGGAAUGGCUUUAACCUGACAGA